UACGUAGGUGGCAAGCGUUGUCCGGAAUUAUUUGGCGUAAAGCGCGCGCAGGCGGUCCUUUAAGUCUGAUGUGAAAGCCCACGGCUCAACCGUGGAGGGUCAUUGGAAACUGGGGGACUUGAGUGCAGAAGAGGAAAGCGGAAUUCCACGUGUAGCGGUGAAAUGCGUAGAGAUGUGGAGGAACACCAGUGGCGAAGGCGGCUUUCUGGUCUGUAACUGACGCUGAGGCGCGAAAGCGUGGGGAGCAAACAGG
rnacentral:rRNA from 1 species